AUUGAACGCUGGCGGCAGGCCUAACACAUGCAAGUCGAGCGGAUGAAGGGAGCUUGCUCCUGGAUUCAGCGGCGGACGGGUGAGUAAUGCCUAGGAAUCUGCCUGGUAGUGGGGGAUAACGUCCGGAAACGGGCGCUAAUACCGCAUACGUCCUGAGGGAGAAAGUGGGGGAUCUUCGGACCUCACGCUAUCAGAUGAGCCUAGGUCGGAUUAGCUAGUUGGUGGGGUAAAGGCCUACCAAGGCGACGAUCCGUAACUGGUCUGAGAGGAUGAUCAGUCACACUGGAACUGAGACACGGUCCAGACUCCUACGGGAGGCAGCAGUGGGGAAUAUUGGACCAUUGGCGAAAGCCUGAUCCAGCCAUGCCGCGUGUGUGAAGAAGGUCUUCGGAUUGUAAAGCACUUUCAGUUGGGAGGAAGGGCAGUAAGUUAAUACCUUGCUGUUUUGACGUUACCAACAGAAUAAGCACCGGCUAACUUCGUG
rnacentral:rRNA from 1 species